rnacentral:rRNA from 1 species
GAUGAAUGCUGGCGGCGUGCCUAACACAUGCAAGUCGAGCGGCAGCGCGAGUAGUUUACUACUUGGCGGCGAGCGGCGGACGGCUGAGUAACGCGUGGGAACGUGCCCCAAAGUGAGGGAUAACGCACCGAAAGGUGUGCUAAUACCGCAUAUGAUCUUCGGACUAAAGAAUUUAUCCGCUUUGGAAGCGGCCCGCGUCGGAUUAGGUAGUUGGUAGGGUAAUGGCCUACCAAGCCGAAGAUCCGUAGCUGGUCUGAGAGGAUGACCAGCCAGUCUGAAACUGAGACACGGGCCAGACUCCUACAGGAGGCAGCAGUGAGGAAUCUUCCACAAUGGGCGAAAGCCUGAUGUAGCAACGCCGCGUGCAGGGUGAAGGCCUUCGGGUUGUAAACUGCUUUUAUAAGUGAAGAAUAUGACCGUACCUUAUGAAUAAGCACCGGCUAACUACGUGCCAGCAGCCGCCGUAA